CCCUUAGAUGUCCUGGGCUGCACGCGCGCUACACUGACACAUGCAACGAGUUUUUCCUUACCUGAAAGGGUUGGGUAAUCUCCUUGAAAGUGUGUCGUGAUGGGGAUAGAUUAUUGCAAUUAUUAAUCUUGAACGAGGAAUUCCUAGUAAACGCAAAUCAUCAAUUUGCAUUGAUUACGUCCCUGCCCUUUGUACACACCGCCCGUCGCACCUACCGAUUGAAUGGUCCGGUGAAAUCUCGGGAUUGUGGCCAGUUCACUUUAUUGGGAGUUGGCUGCGAGAACUUGCUUAAACCUUAUCAUUUAGAGGAAGGUGAAGUCGUAACA
rnacentral:rRNA from 1 species